rnacentral:lncRNA from 1 species
GAGACAACAAAGGUUCCAAACCUCUUUGAACUUCAUCAUAUGUUAUUACAUGAUUCAAAUAUGUAUUAAAACAGUAUUUUCAAUUUUUUUGAAUUUUUCUCAAAAUCUAUGUGUAACCCCCCUACGAAAAUAGUGAGUUUUCGGUAAAUGCUCUAUAUAUGAAGCCUAUAAUCUUUAAAUUUGUUUUAAAAUUUAAAACCACAUUAUACCUUUGUAUUAAUGUAUGAUAAACUUCUUUUCAUGGUACAUGGACAUCGUUCUAAUUUUUUAUCCAUUAAUUUAGCAAAACUGCAAAUACUCCCUAAAUCAUUAGACUAACCACUAUAAAAUUGCUAUUCCCUAGAGAAACGGAGACAACAAAGGUUCCAAACCUCUUUGAACUUCAUCAUAUAUUAUUACAUUAUUCAUAUAUGUAUUAAAAUAGUAUUGUCAAACUUUUUGAAUUUUUCUCAAAAUCUAUGUGUCCCCCUACGAAAAUAGUGAGUUUUCGGUAAUGCUCUCUAUAUAUGAAGCCUAUAAUCUUUAAAUUUCUUGUAAAAUUUAAAACCACAUUAUAACUUUGUCUUAACGUAUGAUAAACUUUUUUUCAUGGUACUUGGACAUCGUUCUAAUUUUUUAUCCAUUAAUUUAGCAAAACUGCAAAUACUCCCUAAAUCAUUGGACUAACCACUAUAAAAUUGCUAUUCCCUAGAGAAACGGAGACAACAAAGGUUCCAAACCUCUUUGAACUUCAUCAUAUGUUAUUACAUGAUUCAAAUAUGUAUUAAAACAGUAUUUUCAUUUUUUUUUAUUUUUUUUCAAAAUCUAUGUGUUAACCCCUACGCAAAUAGUGAGUUUUCGGUAAAUACUCUAUAUAUGAAGCCUAUAAUCUUUAAAUUUGUUGUAAAAUUUAAAACCACAUUAUACCUUUGUCUUAAUGUAUGAUAAACUUCUUUUCAUGGUACAUGGACAUAGUUCUAAUUUUUUAUCCAUUAAUUUAGCAAAAUUGCAAAUACUCCCUAAAUUAUUAGACUAACCACUAUAAAAUUGCUAUUCCCUAGAGAAACGGAGACAACAAAGGUUCCAAACCUCUUUGAAC